UUAAAGUGCCGUAAUCGGGCCUUAUCUGUUUAAUAACAGGUUGAGAAAGGGCCGGGCAAGACGGUGCCAGCCGCCGCGGUAAUACCGGCGGCUCGAGUGGUGGCCACUAUUACUGGGCUUAAAGCGUCCGUAGCUGGUCUGUUAAGUCUCUGGGGAAAUCUACCGGCUUAACCGGUAGGCGGCUCAGGGAUACUGGCAGACUAGGGACCGGGAGAGGUGAGAGGUACUCCAGGGGUAGGAGUGAAAUCCUGUAAUCCUUGGGGGACCACCUGUGGCGAAGGCGUCUCACCAGAACGGCUCCGACAGUGAGGGACGAAAGCUGGGGGAGCAAACCGGAUUAGAUACCCGGGUAGUCCCAGCUGUAAACGAUGCGCGUUAGGUGUAUCGGUGACCACGAGUCACCGAGGUGCCGAAGUGGAAACCGUGAAACGUGCCGCCUGGGAAGUACGGUCGCAAGGCUGAAACUUAAAGGAAUUGGCUGUGGGGAGCACCACAACGGGUGGAGCCUGCGGUUUAAUCGGACUCAACGCCGGGAAUCUCACCGGAUAAGACAGCUGUAUGAUUUGCCGGGCUGAAGACUCUGCAUGACUAGCUGAGAGGAGGUGCAUGGCCGUCGUCAGUUCGUACUGUGAAGCAUCCUGUUAAGUCAGGCAACGAGCGAGACCCACGCCAAACAGUUGCCAGCUCGUCCUCCGGGAUGGAGGGGACACUGUUGGGACCGCCUCUGCUAAAGAGGAGGAAGGAAUGGGCAACGGUAGGUCAGCAUGCCCCGAAUUAUCCGGGCUACACGCGGGCUACAAUGGGUGGGACAUGGGUAUCGACACCGAAAGGUGAAGGCAAUCUCCUAAACCCAUCCUUAGUUCGGAUUGUGGGCUCAACUCGCCCACAUGAAGCUGAAUCCGUAUAUCGUUCUCAAUGCCGAAUCC
rnacentral:rRNA from 1 species